GUGGCUAUGAGUCUCUAUGUUCCCAACUGCAAAUUCCAGGUAUUGAUUCACUUUCUCCGCACGAAAUUGCCGCCAUGAUUAAUACGGCUUUUUUAGAACCGAUGCAAAAUUAUCAAAGCAUUGACCCUCCUCCUCCUUUCGAAUCAAACUCUGAACUGCCCCAAAUCUCGGUCGAGGCUGUUUCGUCUGUAUUGCGGAAUUUACCACACAAAGCACCCGGACCUGACGGCAUCCGAAAUUGGAUUCUUAAAGAAUAUGCCAUGAUACUUUCCGAUCCCAUUUGCCACGUUAUAAACUGUUCCUUCACUAAUCAAGGUCUUCCUUCCUCCUGGAAAUUAGCUGAUUUUAUUCCAGUACCAAAACAAAGGCACGUCGAAGAUGUCAAUAACCACCUUAGACCCAUCUCCCUGACACCAGCUAUUUCUAAAGUUGCAGAGGAGUUCGCCGUGAAAUUGUACGUUGCGCCUUCUGUUUUCGAGAUCAUCGACCCUAGCCAGUUUGGAGCCAUACCGAUGUCCUCGACAGUACACGCCCUCAUCUCUACGAUCCAUCUUUGGGCCCAAGCCAC